rnacentral:rRNA from 1 species
GCCUUAUGGUUGUAAAGCACCUUAAGCGAGGAGGAGGCUACUGAGACUAAUACUCUUGGAUAGUGGACGUUACUCGCAGAAUAAGCACCGGCUAACUCUGUGCCAGCAGCCGCGGUAAUACAGAGGGUGCGAGCGUUAAUCGGAUUUACUGGGCGUAAAGCGUGCGUAGGCGGCUUUUUAAGUCGGAUGUGAAAUCCCCGAGCUUAACUUGGGAAUUGCAUUCGAUACUGGGAAGCUAGAGUAUGGGAGAGGAUGGUAGAAUUCCAGGUGUAGCGGUGAAAUGCGUAGAGAUCUGGAGGAAUACCGAUGGCGAAGGCAGCCAUCUGGCCUAAUACUGACGCUGAGGUACGAAAGCAUGGGGAGCAAACAGGAUUAGAUACCCUGGUAGUCCAUGCCGUAAACGAUGUCUACUAGCCGUUGGGGUCUUUGAGGCUUUAGUGGCGCAGCUAACGCGAUAAAGUAGACCGCCUGGGGAGUACGGUCGCAAGAC